AGGUAUUUUCUAUAAGCAUUGAUAAUGAACUACGCAGAGAGGAAGGAUGUCUAGCACACCAUUCUGGUAAAGAUGUGCCGCUAGAAAACUGUAAUGGAGCUAAAAGUCAUAAAUGGGUCCAUGAUAAGGUAAGCUUAAUAUAUUUGUUAUUAUGUAUGGAAUAAUAAUCUGGAUGGAAGAGAAAAGUGUGAAAUACAUGUUGGUAAUUAUGUACCACGAGAAGGUUAUAAUGGGUGAAAAUGAAUAAAAUGGUCCAUUACUAGAAACAUUUCUGAUAGAGAUUUAUUGUCGUUUUACAUGAUCACGAGAAAUAUUGAACGAUAUCUCCCUCCUUAAAGACAUGUGGGAAACAACAAUAAAUUGAUGUGAAGAGGGACAUAACAGAUUAGUAGCUGUCAACAUAAAUGCUUAUCAAUUAUUUGUCUGGUUCAUAGAUAUUGAUUCUGACCUACUUGUUUAUUUCUUGACAUAGAUAUAACUCUUUAUUAAACAUUGGAAAGUAUUGAAAUAAAUGAAAUGAAAAGAUAGCUUAUUUUGUUUUUUGUUAACAACUGAAAUGAAACUAGAAUGAUACAAUUAACUAUCAGACGGUGGAAAGUGUGUUAAAUCAACUUGAGAUUUUACCUAUCAUGCCUAUCAUGUAUAUUGACAUAAAAUGAUCCUUCAAAACAGUGAGUCAAAUUAAAUGUAAAUAUGUCUCUAUUAAACAGGAAAAGGGAACAAUAAAGCACAAGGAGUCCGGGAAAUGUUUAGACAUAGCAGGAGUGAAGUCAGGUGGAACUGUUGUGGUCAACCCAUGUAAUGGUCAAGACUCACAAAUUUGGACAUUUGAACAUUAUCUCAAUUUAUGAUUGGACAUGGUACACUUAGUUGUUGGUAUUUGUUUGAGCUUUCAGGGAUUUUAUACAGUAAAGGUGUAGACUAUGUUAUGCUAGAUUUAUAUCUGUGAUUUAUAUGAGGGUUUUGAAUAUUAGUCCAAAUUCAUGUAUAUUCAUGUACAUUGACCAUAUGAUUUUAGAGUUAAUUUAAACCAUUUUAUUCACAAAUUUUUAUAAAGAUUUUUUAAAAUAAGGUGAAUGUUUUGUGUAAAUUCCAUCUAAACAUGCUAUAUCAUACAUUACAAAUUAUUUGAUAUUCUUACAUUGAAUUUUUACAACUUUUGUACUUAUCUGUUAAAGGUUGUCAAACAUUUUUGCCUUAUUUUUUUAAAUAUAAGAAUGAGCUAUUCCUAUUAUCUUAUUUUAAAAUGUAAUGAUUAUUGUAAAGUUUGUUGCUAAACACAGAAACCUCCAUGCAGUAUUGAAGUAAUAUAUGGUUACAAUUUAAGAAUCCAGGUUGUUUGUCUAUUUUGAAAAUGAUGUUGAGUAUUAUUCAAUGGUUCACGUAAACUAUGUUGUAAAUUGUUAUUAUUGAAAUUAAUCCAAUUAUAAUUUAUAAUGAAUUCCAUUAAUCUACACUGUGAUGAAUAUUUGUUGUUUUGAAAUAGUAUAGUGUGGAUUCAUGUAAUUUUCGUGGGAACACAUUUUUGUGGACUGAGGGAAAUUGUAUUUUCCUAAAUAUUUAAUUUUGCAGUUUUGCCAAAGUCUGCAUUCAAGCUUUAUGAAAAUGUGUGUGUCUUUAAACAAUUAUAUUUACUCCUUUGAUAUGUGAAUUAAGUUUAGAAAUAUUCUUUUUUGAAUGUGUUUCCACAGUUACCAUGU
rnacentral:lncRNA from 1 species